AUUGAACGCUGGCGGCAUGCCUAACACAUGCAAGUCGAACGGGUUGUACUUCGGUACAGCUAGUGGCGGACGGGUGAGUAACACAUAGGAAUCUGCCCGAGAGUGGGGGAUAACCCAGGGAAACUUGGAUUAAUACCGCAUGAUCUCUACGGAGCAAAGCUGGGGACCUUCGGGCCUGGCGCUUUUGGAGGAGCCUAUGUCUGAUUAGCUUGUUGGUGAGGUAACGGCUCACCAAGGCGACGAUCAGUAACUGGUCUGAGAGGACGACCAGUCACACCGGAACUGAGACACGGUCCGGACUCCUACGGGAGGCAGCAGUGGGGAAUAUUGGACAAUGGGCGAAAGCCUGAUCCAGCAAUGCCGCGUGUGUGAAGAAGGCCUUCGGGUUGUAAAGCACUUUAGGAUGGAAAGAAAAAACUUCAGUUAAUAGCUGAAGUCUUGACGGUACCAUCAGAAUAAGCACCGCUAACU
rnacentral:rRNA from 1 species